UUGGUUCAGGACGAACGCUGGCGGCGUGCCUAACACAUGCAAGUCGAACGGAGUUAAUGAUUUCGGUUGUUAACUUAGUGGCGAACGGGUGAGUAACGCGUGAACAACCUGACCCAAAGAGGGGGAUAACAUUUGGAAACAGAUGCUAAUACCGCAUAAGACCACAACGUCACAUGGCGAAGGGGUCAAAGGAGCAAUCCGCUUUGGGAGGGGUUCGCGUCCCAUUAGGUAGUAGGCGGGGUAACAGCCCACCUAGCCAACGAUGGGUAGCCGAGCUGAGAGGCUGAUCGGCCACACUGGAACUGAGACACGGUCCAGACUCCUACGGGAGGCAGCAGUGGGGAAUAUUGGGCAAUGGGCGCAAGCCUGACCCAAGCAACGCCGCGUGAGGGAAGAAGGUUUUCGGAUUGUAAACCUCUGUCGCAGAAGACGAAGGAAGUGACGGUAUUCUGUGAGGAAGCCCCGGCUAACUACGUGCCAGCAGCAGC
rnacentral:rRNA from 1 species